GCCAAUCGCGGCUUUGUGUUCUUAGCUGAUAAAGCAGCUCAGCCAAUGGGACCACUCUGGAGGCAAGGUUUGGUGUCAAAUAGCAUGCUAGAUUGAAUGCCUUUGACUGUUAAAGUGGAAGGAGGCUGCAGGGCUUCAUUGGAGCCUCGGAGUUUUUCACUGAGGCAGGGGUCAGCUGAAAGACAAAGAAAAAUGGCGAAUAGUUUGCUGGGGGGUGGGGGGACAGCUGUUCGGGCUUUCACUGGAGUGGACAUUCCAGACUCAGGUUUCUGCAUCUCCUGCUGCCUUUUGUUUCCUCCGUCCUUUUGGGGGGGAGGGAUAGGAGUGACUUAAAUUCUCCCUGUCCGAGGAGAUAUAAAUAACUACAUGUAAAAUUAAUGCAGUUCCCGCCAAAUAAAUGUUUCCCAGAGGAAUGAAGACAAAAACCUCUACUUCCAUAAAGAGCAAAGACCUGCAGCUAACUAUAACUUAGACUAAGCUUUAGGAACCUCUCAGAAUAAAAACUGGGAACCUCUUCUGAAGGGUGCCAAGACCUGCAGUAGACUGCAGGAAUGAUAAAGAGGAACUGGAUAUUAGAAUGGCAGCUAGACUGUCUCCCCUGGAGUGAUCUGAUUGAGUCAUCUCGUUUCCUCCAUGGUUUUCUCCUUAUCUUCCUGGCAGUGGAUGAUCAAGCAGAGUUGUCAGAAUGUCCACAGAAGGAGGAUUUGGUGGUACUAGCAGCAGUGAUGCCCAGCAAAGCUUGCAGUCCUUCUGGCCUCGUGUCAUGGAAGAAAUCCGGAAUUUGACAGUGAAAGAUUUCCGAGUACAGGAACUCCCACUGGCUCGUAUUAAGAAGAUUAUGAAACUGGAUGAAGAUGUGAAGAUGAUCAGUGCGGAAGCCCCCGUGCUCUUUGCCAAGGCGGCCCAGAUCUUUAUCACGGAGCUGACUCUGCGAGCCUGGAUCCACACGGAGGACAACAAGCGCCGGACUCUCCAGAGGAAUGAUAUCGCCAUGGCAAUUACAAAAUUUGAUCAGUUUGACUUUCUCAUCGAUAUUGUCCCAAGAGAUGAGCUGAAACCUCCAAAGCGUCAGGAGGAGGUGCGCCAGUCCGUGACUCCUGCCGAGCCCGUCCAGUACUACUUCACGCUGGCUCAGCAGCCCACUGCGGUCCAAGUCCAGGGGCAGCAGCAAGGCCAGCAGACCACCAGCUCCACGACCACCAUCCAGCCUGGGCAGAUCAUCAUUGCACAGCCUCAGCAGGGCCAGACCACACCCGUGACCAUGCAGGUCGGAGAAGGUCAGCAGGUGCAGAUCGUCCAGGCCCAGCCACAGGGUCAGGCCCAGCAAGCCCAGAGCGGCACCGGGCAGGCCAUGCAGGUGAUGCAGCAGAUCAUCACCAACACAGGGGAGAUCCAGCAGAUCCCGGUAAGCCGCCCGGCCUUGAGGUCUGCCGGACUCAACGGGAGAGAGUGGAGAGUUCGCACACGCCCGCACGCGCGCUCUUGGAGGAAGCGAUGCUCCUGUUACCCCAGACCACAGCUCGCUCCACUGCAGACAGGCUGCUUUCCUUCUCACCGCCACGGGCAGCUCCUCUCGGGUUGCCCGCACUCUGCCUGCGCCCAGAGAUGGCUGUAACCACCCUUCCGUGCCAGGGUCCGGAGGGCCUGUGAGGCGGUUCUGUCUUUUGAUUAGCGGAGAGUAAGAGGGAGGUGCAUAGAGAAGGCCAUAAAUACACUUGUUGCGUAUUCAUGAGUCAGUUCCCAGUGGAGCCUGCAGCAAAGUGUAUUUUUGGCUUUCAUUUAACUUCUCCAUUCCUUCACUGUGGACUGCUGCUUCCUAUGUGCCUUGAGGGAUUCUCAUUCUUAGAUCCGUUGGCUUUUUUUACUUGUACUUGUUCCUUUGUGAAAAAUGUCCUUGUCUUAAUACUUGCAAUCUAUUCAUUGGUCAAUUUGUCACCAAAAGAAAGAAAAAAUGUGGAAAGCGAGAGACACACAGCAGUCCUAUUCCUGCCCCUUGCCCUUCCUAUUAUAAAUGAAAUGUAGGCAGAGAAAGAAAUGCUCUUGAACUUAGGUAACCACUUCCCCUUUGAAGGAAGCUAGAAAUGUAUCCUCGACUCUGACUCUGGAGCUGUUCUUCAGUUAACAGAGGAAAGGUCCAGAGAGAGCUUAGGAAAGGGUAGCACGUGCGUCUCUCUGUGUCUGUCUCUUUCUUCCCCACCCCCUUCUCCCCCACCCCUUCUCCCUUUCCUUUGUGCAUGCGUGUGUGCAUGCGUGUGUGCGCCUGUGCACACACACGUCCCCAUCAAUCCCAGAUGUCCUGCCUCACUGGUUCAGCCGCCAGCUCAGGACGUCUCCCAUAAAUGGUUCUCCUUUUCGCUUGGGAAGGCACCAAAACAAGUUCUUCUAAGCCAGAGAAGAGUUCCCACUUUGUUGUAGCUUUAACUCAAGUCUUUCAAAGCCUCUUGGGGCAUACGGAAGAUUUGUUGCAGAUUCAGGCCUGGUCUGCACAGUAUGCCUUCCGCAGGCGACUGCGUUUCUAAACUCCGCGGAGUGCUCAUAAUCAGCCAUGACCUUCUGGAAGGAAGCCUUUCUCCUCUUGUGAAAGCCCAAGGGGUAGGCUUAUUUGCUCUGUAACUCAUGUUUAAACGCUGUGCGGGUCCCCAAGCCUGUCUGUGUGGUCAAGGACUGAGGGCAGAGCAUCACCGGAUGUCUAAACCUGAGCCUGAAUGAAGAGCUUGCUUCGAAGAACCCCCUGGAAUUGACUGGCUCAAGGCUUUUCAUUCGCAUUUGAGUUUCUGCAGAGAUCGCUUCUCAGCCGGGAAAUGUAAAAUCCCUGUGGCUGCAAUACACCUUCCCCACUCCCAGGGCAAGGCCUUAGUCUCUCAUCCCAUGUUCCUUGGCUGGAGUUCCGGUGACUCCUCGAACCAGCCACCCCUCAGGCACAGCAAGCGAGGUUUCCCAAGCCUCCACCCAGCUGUCUCCCUCCCCGCAAGCAACUUAAUGUUGCCUGCAAGCUGCGCUGUGGGAUACAGUGGGGCGUUUAGGCGUUAGCAUCACAGCUCCCCAGCAACUCCCCUUGGUGUUUGCUCAGGAGAGAAAUGACUGUAGGUCAAAAUAUCUUGCCCUAUCUUCUUUGAAUCAGCUUCUUUUUUUCUUUUCUUUCUUCUUUUCUUUUCUUUCUUUCUUUCUUUUUUGUUUUUUCUGUUUUUUUGCUUUUUAGGGCCCCACCUGUGGCAUAUGAAAGUUCACAGGCUAGGGGUCCAGUCGGCACGGCAGCUGCCAGUCUGCACCACAGCCACGGCAACAAGGGAUCCGAGACACAUCUGCGACCUACACCUCAGCUUGCAGCAACGCUGGAUCUAACCCACUGAGCAAGGCCAGGGAUCGAACCCGCAUCCUCAUGGAUACUUGUCAGGUUCAUUACCUCAGAGCCAUGACGGGAACUCCUGAACCAGUUUCUUAACAGGUGUAGAUUUUGUGUCCCUCUUUUGGGCCUUAAGCAGACAAUUCUGGAAUGGUCUAAGAACUUCAGUGUCCUUUCUUGGGGGCUGAAAUCCUCUUUGAAGUUUCAGAGAAGCAGUUUGAUGUAAUGCUGCAUCAUCCUGUCAGCAUUUCCCUCAUGGAAGUCAAAGCCGCUGCAAUGAAGUUCGCUCUUAAGACAAGGAAAAAAUUUCCUCCAGGACAAAGAGGCACAAUUCGCCAAUUACCCUCAGCCGCACACCCGCACGAGAAAAGCCCAGGCUGGGCAGCCAGAGCGGGUUGUGUCCGGGCCCCCAGGUAGAGACCUGAUGUGCUGGUCCUCCUGGAGCCUCUCGGCCCCACAUCCUCCCUGCUGACUGUUCUCUCUGCCGAGCUCCAGUUCCUCUCACGCUCUAGCUGCCUGGUCCUCUCCACGUCCCCCCGCUCGAAGCGCUCUGUGUGUGCGUGGUCCGCUGGAGCGUUAAGGGCCUGCGUGAAGGCUUUUCGCACGCAGUUAGAUGCAGCAUGUGGCGUUACUGUAUUAUCUGAGGCUCAGUCGUGAGCGCAUUCUGGUUGCUUUGGCUUCCCACGGUGGGGCUUUCUGUGAAAGGGUGAUUGAUUCGGCUUCCCCUGGGGAGGUGUUUGGCCAGAAGCUAGUGCUGAACACCAAGGAUCCUCAAGUCCUGCAGACCUCCGGUCCUGGCUCUGGGGCCCGAGACGGGAAAGCAGGCCGCGCUUUCUUCUAAGACGUGCAGCGUGAGGCCGGGCAGUUCUCGGGCUGUGGCACAGCGUGAUGGGACUGGCAGGUGCUGGGACUCUUCUCGGUAUUAGAUCAGCCAUCCUGGGAGUGGGAGAGGGUGGAGAUGGAGGGGGAAAGGCCCGCCCCUAAGGUGCAAGCAUUCUGAUAAUGUCACAUCGUCCUUGGCAUAAAAUCCUAAGAGAAACUGUGGGCGAAUGGCUAAGAGCCAGUACCAUCGAGGGUCCAUUCAUGCUGUCCUCACAUAUGUGACGAGACCUGCUGAGAAUUUUCCUCCAAUUCCAUUGAAGGAACAUCCUCUCUCUUGUGCUGGGUGACUCGUCAGGUAGGGAUGUUAAGGUUUUGCGUGUUUUCAUCUCUGUUAAAAGAAACUUUUCAACUAAAAAUAGAGUUGCCAUGUGAUCCUGCAGUCUCACUCCUGGACCUAUGUCCAGACAAAACUAUACCUAAAAAAGAUACACUCACCCCUGUGUUCAUAGCAGCACUGGUCACAACAGCCAAGACACGGAAACAACUUAAAUGCCCAUGGACAGAUGAUGGAUAAAGAUGUGGUGCAUGUAUGCAAUGGAAUACUACUCAGCCAUAAAAAAGAAGGAAAUAAUCCCACUGCAGUAAAAUGGAUGGAACUAGAGACUAUCAUACUAAGUCAAGUAAAUUAGAAAGAGAAAGACAAAUACCACAUGAUAUCACUUACACACAGAAUCUAAAAUGUGACACACAUGAAUUCAUCUAUGAAACGGAAAUAGACAGCAGACUUGGGGUUGUCAGGGGAGAGAGGAAGUUGGGGAGAGGGAUGAGUGGGAGUUUGGCAUUAGCAGAUGAAAAUGAAUAUAUGUACAUCUUUUUUUUUUUUUUCUUUUUAGGGCUGCACUUGCAGACUAUUGAAGUUCCCAGGCUAGGGGUCAAAUUGGAGCAGCAGCUUCCAGCCUGCAUCACAGCCAUGGCAACACAGGAUCCAAGCUGCAUCUGCAACCUACACCUCUGCUCACGGCAGUACCGGAUCCUUAACCCACUGAACAAGGCCAGGGAUCGAACCCCGCAUCCUCAUGGAUACUAGUUGGAUUCAUUACCGCUGAGCCACAAGGGGAACUCCGAGAACUGUUACAUGGGGAGUGGAUAAAACGGUCCUGCUGCAUAGCACGGGGAACUCUAUCCAGUGUCCUGUGAUAAACCACGAUGGAUAAGAAUAUAAAAGAGAAUGUGUGUACCUGUAGAGCCACGUCACUUAGCUGUGCAGCCGAAAUUAACACGGCAUUGUAAUCAGCUCCGUUUCAGUUUUGAAAAAGAACUUUUCAGGGUUGGCUUCUUGGGGGUGGGGGGCAGGUAGGGACAAUGACCACUUCUUGUCGUGGAAAGACCGCCUGUUUGAGGUUGUGCUCAGUCUCCUGUGGUCUGUUUGUCACUGCCCUGCCAUAGGUGCAGCUGAAUGCCGGCCAGCUACAGUAUAUCCGCUUAGCCCAGCCUGUAUCAGGCACCCAAGUUGUGCAGGGACAGAUCCAGACGCUUGCCACCAACGCUCAACAGAUCACACAGACGGAGGUCCAGCAGGGACAGCAGCAGUUCAGCCAGUUCACGGAUGGACAGCAGCUCUACCAGAUCCAGCAAGUCACCAUGCCUGCCGGCCAGGACCUCACCCAGCCCAUGUUCAUCCAGUCAGCCAGCCAGCCCUCCGACGGGCAGGCCCCCCAGGUGACCGGCGACUGAGGCCUGAGCUGGCGAGGCCGAGGACACCCAACACAAUUUUUGCCACACAGCCCUGGGCGACGGGCCCCGCCUCCCUCCCCAGAGGACCCUGCCGACCUCUGCGCCUCCUGCAGGCUCGGGCACUGGUGCACGACGCCCCGCGCCUGGGGGCCGAGAUUCUCCAGCAGAAAGAUGCAAUAUUUUUUAUUUCCUUCGUCCUCCCCCUUUUCUCCAAGGAAUCAAUAUUUCAGUCUGUUGAGCUGUGUGUCCGAUGCUAUGAAAUGAAAAUAUUAAAUAACAUAUUUAUGGCAUUUUCUCAAAGAUUGUGGUGGAAGAAAUAUUUCUUUUGUUUUUUUGGUCCUUCAGCGCCGCUUCUUUUAGGAGCACAUCUCCUCAGGGUGUGUAAUCUCCCGACUCUUAGGACAUCGCUGCCCCGGGGGUUUGCCGCCUUGUCCUGCCCUCGGGUUAGGUUAGGCGACCGUGUGUAGCUUCUUUUUCCCGUGCCCUGCUCUUGCCCCAGAGCUCUGUGGAUUUGCCUCUGGAAGCCAUGGAAACAUUCCUUGCGUUUAAGAGACGAACUCCUUCGCCAUGGAGAGAGGAUGGUUUCAUUCCCAGACCCUUCGCUUCCGGGGACCCGAGGAGACUGGAACUUUGCGCACUGGCCCCUUUCCCCCAUUUUUACGCUUAAAUACAUCAAAAAUUGUGCUCGUCUCCUUUGCUGCAUGGACUUCAAACUGCAUGAAAUGCAAUAAACCUCACUUUAGAUAAA